UACGCAGGGUGCGAGCGGUAAUCGGAAUUACUGGGCGUAAAGCGUGCGCAGGCGGCUUUGCAAGACAGAUGUGAAAUCCCCGGGCUCAACCUGGGAACUGCUUUCAAAACCGCUGAGCUAGAGUACGGUAGAGGGUGGUGGAAUUUCCGGUGUAGCGGUGAAAUGCGUAGAUAUAGGAAGGAACACCAGUGGCGAAGGCAAUCCCCUGGGCCUGUACUGACGCUCAUGCACGAAAGCGUGGGGAGCAAACAGG
rnacentral:rRNA from 1 species